AUUGAACGCUGGCGGCAUGCCUUACACAUGCAAGUCGAACGGUAACAGGUCUUCGGAUGCUGACGAGUGGCGAACGGGUGAGUAAUACAUCGGAACGUGCCUAGUAGUGGGGGAUAACUACUCGAAAGAGUGGCUAAUACCGCAUGAGAUCUACGGAUGAAAGCAGGGGAUCGCAAGACCUUGUGCUACUAGAGCGGCCGAUGGCAGAUUAGGUAGUUGGGGGGGUAAAGGCCCACCAAGGCAACGAUCUGUAGUUGGUCUGAGAGGACGACCAGCCACACUGGGACUGAGACACGGCCCAGACUCCUACGGGAGGCAGCAGUGGGGAAUUUUGGACAAUGGGCACAAGCCUGAUCCAGCAAUGCCGCGUGCAGGAAGAAGGCCUUCGGGUUGUAAACUGCUUUUGUCAGGGAAGAAAUCUUCUGGGCUAAUACCCCGGGAGGAUGACGGUACCUGAAGAAUAAGCACCGGCUAACUACGUGCCAGCCGCCGCGGUAA
rnacentral:rRNA from 1 species